rnacentral:rRNA from 1 species
AUGAAGGCAUACACGGCGACCGAGGACAAGCUUCUUUGCGAGUGUUGGCGAGACAUUGGACAAGACCCCAAGACGGGCGCCGAACAAAAGCAUUCAACCUUUUGGAUUCGUGUCCACCGAGAGUUUCAUGAGCGCAAGAAGUUUCCGCUUUACCAACUUGUCAGCACGCGCGGGUGGGUGUCCAUUUCCAAGCGAUGGAGGGUGAUCCAACAAGAGUGCAACAAGUUUUGCGCCACUCUUGAGAGCGUCAAGGCCCGCCCCGUGAGCGGCAUCGGCAUGCAAGACAUGGUAUGCUAG